rnacentral:lncRNA from 1 species
AUGAUCUUAAUUCAGUAUAUAAUUUAUCAAGACGAUAGGUUAUUAUAAAUUGUUCACUGGUUAUUUAUUAUAUACAUGCACACUUAAAUUUCAUAUAUGUGCAUGAAAUUCGAAGAUACGUUAAUGAAAAUGUCCUAUGCUAUGUCCUUAGAUAUGGCUUUCACAAAAAAUUAAGUGUAGUAUAACUGCCAAUGAGACAACUCUCCACAAGAGACCAAAUAACACAGAAAUUAGCAACUAUAGGUCACCGCACGGCCUUCAACAAUGAGCAAAGCCCAUACCGCAUGUCAGCAAUAAAAGGACUGAGAACUGUAAAAGAAUUCAAACGAGAAAACGAAAAACUUGAACGAAAAACAAAUAUGUAACACAUCAACAAACGACAACAACUGAAUUACAGGCUCCUGACUUAGGACAGGCACAUACAUACAUAAUGUGGCGGGGUUAAACAUGUUAUCGGGAUCCCAACCCUCCCCUUACAUGGGACAUGGUGUUACAUUAUAACGUAUGAAAAAACUAUAAAAAUCAGUUGAAAAAGGCUUAACGCAUCCAAUAGAUACAAAUGGAAAUAUAAAACAAAGUGGACGGGCCGGGUAAUUGUAUAUCCCAACAACCAAAAGACACUACGUACAGAUCUGAGAGUACUUGCAGUUACUGAAGCUGGUUCAAAGCCUAUAACAACUAAUAAAAAAAUCAUGCAUCUAAGACUAAAUUAUCAAUCAGUAUACUGACAACCAACAUCCAAUGGAUUUAGUGUAAAGAAGUCAUAAACCAUCUGACCUUAUUUAAGAUGGUCUUAGGACGUAUGUUAGACAUGUCUUAUAAGUAAAAAAAUCUAUCUUAUGACAGUCAUAACUACAGCUGUCCAAGGAUCACAUUUAUUCAGUAAAUAUGUACAAAGAAGGAGGUUGCAUCUUUUAUAAAAAAAAACUAUAUCGUACACAUUACACCCCUCAAUUUGAGAAUCGUCUAAGCUCUCCGUCAAUGUAUUUAUAUCUAAUCAUAAAUUCUACCAAAGGGAUGUUUAUUUUAAAGAUAUGCUUUAAAUAAUGAUGGGAAGGUUUUAAAUAUCUGUAGCAAAAGGUUUUCUCUCCAGUUCUGUAAACAUUUUCGAAAUUUUCCUUUGACCGAUGCAGACUCUACGCACACAUUAUAUCCCUCAAUUCGAGAAUCGACUUAGCUCUCCAUCAAGUCGCAAUAGGUUUUCUCUCCAGUUCUGUAAAUAUUUUCGAAUAUUUCCUUUGGCCGAUGCAGACGAUUUGCAAAUAUUGCACCCCUCAAUUCGAUAACCGACUAAGCUCUCCAAC